CCCGGCCCAGAGCAAGAAACACCCCCGCUCCCGCUCCUUCGGUGGAUUCAUCAAGAGGAGACAUAAGGGGGACCAACAGGCGUUGGAGAGGCGGGGUAGACAGAUCUCCCCGGAGAUGGUUGCUGCGGCGAUGGGACGGCUGGGAAAGGAGAACGUCGUCCUGCAGUCGGGGAACGGUCCGGUGACAGUGAAUAAUAGUACUCCAGUCGGGGUCAAGGCCUCUGACAGCAUGGCCCUCAAUAGAGAGAGAGGGGACUCAAACUAUCAAAGGACUCUCCAUCCAUCUCCAGAAUGUGUUGGUCUCCCUCCCUAGAAACGUCCAUGUAGAGGAUUGGUACUAGCAACACUGGACUUGUUAUUUUUUUGUCAUUUUUUUCUUCUUUCAUCAAGUAAACUAUAUUGUACAUUUCUAAAUCUGUGACGAAUACAACAUUAGUCCCCAGCCAGACAUGGGUUUCAUCCCAAUAAUCUCUUCUUUCUCCUGAAGUGUGCACUUGUUCACUUCCCUCAAUGUGUUUGAAAGGAAAUGACUGGAAUACCCAUAUGGAAACUCCUUCUAGCCCAUGCCUACACAAUCCAAGACUUUUACAUUGUGUGGGGAGUAGUGAAUGAGUGCACACUUCAGGGGGAGAGAUUAUUGGGACGUAACCCAGGAAAGUACAAGACCAACUCUGUUAAGUGUGGAGUCAGGGACAGGAGGGAGCUUUCUUUGGUCCGUUUGGGGUCUGAGUGCCACUCAUAACUUGAAACAG